GGAAAGAACGACCACAAACAAUGAGAUCAAAGCUGCUUGAGCAAAAAUCGGCCUCCAAAAAUCAAAGAAGCACUUUCCGGUCAACAUAUAAAAAUCCGUGAGUUCCACUCGGAGGAAGUGAGACAUACUGACGCCGCUAACUGACUUUAUUCCUUUAAAAAUCGGAAGAAGCACAAGGAGACAAGGUGUAUAGUCGAGGUCUGCUGAGAAUUAAUGGCUUCUACAAAGAUAAACGCUGCAUUUCUGGUUUUUCUAGCUGUUUUCGCUUUUCUAACAAGUGAGACAUCAUGCCAUUUGAGGGUGGGAAAAAAAGAAAUUGUACCCUUGGAGCACGACCUUGGAGAAUUGUUUAAAAACCGGAGAAAAAUGAACUUAGUAGAAAACAAGAGAAAAUUUCAUCGAAGAGACAACUGGAGGCCCGGAACAAAAGUACUGCCAGAGUUCUAUAGAGAAUGAGAACAUCGGAUGACCAAGAUGCCGUAGGAUAUCAUGGGUAAUCAAGUCAAAGAACAAGACUGUUUAGCUUAUAAUUAGCAUAUUAAUUCUGGUAGUUAGCUUAAAA